UCCGUAGGUGAACCUGCGGAAGGAUCAUUACCGAGUUGAUUCGGGCUCCGGCCCGAUCCUCCCACCCUUUGUGUACCUACCUCUGUUGCUUUGGCGGGCCGCGGUUCUCCGCGGCCGCCCCCCUCCCCGGGGGGUGGCCAGCGCCCGCCAGAGGACCAUCAAACUCCGGUCAGUAAACGAUGCAGUCUGAAAAACAUUUAAUAAACUAAAACUUUCAACAACGGAUCUCUUGGUUCUGGCAUCGAUGAAGAACGCAGCGAAAUGCGAUAAGUAAUGUGAAUUGCAGAAUUCAGUGAAUCAUCGAAUCUUUGAACGCACAUUGCGCCCUUUGGUAUUCCGAAGGGCAUGCCUGUUCGAGCGUCAUUACAACCCUCAAGCUCUGCUUGGUAUUGGGCACCGUCCUUUGCGGGCGCGCCUCAAAGACCUCGGCGGUGGCGUCUUGCCUCAAGCGUAGUAGAACAUACAUCUCGCUUCGGAGCGCAGGGCGUCGCCCGCCGGACGAACCUUCUGAACUUUUCUCAAGGUUGACCUCGGAUCAGGUAGGGAUACCCGCUGAACUUAAGCAUAUCAAUAAGCGGAGGA
rnacentral:rRNA from 1 species